AUGAACGCUGGCGGCGUGCUUAACACAUGCAAGUCGAACGGGAAACCUUUUAAUGAAGCUUCGGCAGAUUUAGCUGGUUUCUAGUGGCGGACGGGUGAGUAACGCGUGGGUAACCUGCCUUAUACAGGGGGAUAACAGUCAGAAAUGACUGCUAAUACCGCAUAAGCGCACAGGACCGCAUGGUCCGGUGUGAAAAACUCCGGUGGUAUAAGAUGGACCCGCGUUGGAUUAGCUUGUUGGUGGGGUAACGGCUCACCAAGGCGACGAUCCAUAGCCGGCCUGAGAGGGUGAACGGCCACAUUGGGACUGAGACACGGCCCAGACUCCUACGGGAGGCAGCAGUGGGGAAUAUUGCACAAUGGGGGAAACCCUGAUGCAGCGACGCCGCGCGAAGGAAGAAAUAUCUCGGUAUGUAAACUUCUAUCAGCAGGGAAGAUAGUGACGGUACCUGACUAAGAAGCCCCGGCUAACUACGUG
rnacentral:rRNA from 1 species